UUUGAUUAGAAAUUGAAGCAACUAAAUCAUUAAAGGAGGAAUACUCCUUAAUCAGUAUUCCCUCAAUGGAAAAAUCAAUAUAAUUGCCCUCAUCAUUCCACUUUUCAGAAUGACGCAAUAAAACUGUUAAGCUUGCCAUCUGUAUCAAAAUAUUUUUGUAUUGUAUCAAUCGAUAAUAAGGGGAAGAAAAUCGCACAAUAUUG
rnacentral:lncRNA from 1 species